UCCCUGGUGGUCCAGUGGCUAAGACUCCACACUCCCAAUGCAGGGGUCCAAGUUUGAUCCCUGGUCAGGGAA
rnacentral:tRNA from 1 species